GAUGUUUCAACAGCAAAAACUUUCUGAUUUCCCUUUCUUUUGCAAAAAUACUCAACUUUCCCAACUCAUUCUUUUCUUUUCUUUCAUUUUUCUCUCAUGUUUUUACCUUGCUCUCUUUGUUUUUCUCUUUUAUUUUUAACCCAUUCUUUACUUUUUUUCUUUCCUAUUUUCUUGUCUUUUUCUGUCUUAUUUUUUCCUCAUUUUAUUUUAUUCUUGAUUUUUCAUAAGACUCUCUUAAUUGGAGCUGAUCUUCAUAAACUUGACUGGGAGUAAGUAGUGUCAAAGUAACGUUCUUCCCAUGGUGUUUGAAAGUAUACCAAUUGGUAUAUCCAUC
rnacentral:lncRNA from 1 species